rnacentral:rRNA from 1 species
CCUACGGGGGGCUGCAGUGGGGAAUAUUGGACAAUGGGGGGAACCCUGAUCCAGCGAUGCCGCGUGUGUGAAGAAGGCCCUCGGGUUGUAAAGCACUUUCAGUGAGGAAGAACGCCUGGUGGUUAAUACCCAUCAGGAAAGACAUCACUCACAGAAGAAGCACCGGCUAACUCCGUGCCAGCAGCCGCGGUAAUACGGAGGGUGCGAGCGUUAAUCGGAAUUACUGGGCGUAAAGCGCGCGUAGGUGGCUUGAUAAGCCGGUUGUGAAAGCCCCGGGCUCAACCUGGGAACGGCAUCCGGAACUGUCAAGCUAGAGUGCAGGAGAGGAAGGUAGAAUUCCCGGUGUAGCGGUGAAAUGCGUAGAGAUCGGGAGGAAUACCAGUGGCGAAGGCGGCCUUCUGGACUGACACUGACACUGAGGUGCGAAAGCGUGGGUAGCAAACAGGAUUAGAUACCCCGGUAGUC